AAAAAGAUAAAUCCUGGUUUCCAUGCCUAACGUUUGACCGUUCGUUUUAUUUAAAAAUUUUUUUAAAAAAAUUAAAAAGACAAGUCACGCAUAAAAUAUUAAUCAUGUUUUAUCAUCUAACAACAAUAAAAAUACAAAUUAUAAAAAUAUUUCAUAUAAGACGGGUAGUCAAAAUUGGACACGUAAACCCAGGGUUUGCUUUUUU
rfam:Oryza nivara chromosome 9, whole genome shotgun sequence.